GACGAACGCUGGCGGCGUGCUUAACACAUGCAAGUCGAACGAAGAGCGAUGGAAGCUUGCUUCUAUCCAUCUUAGUGGCGAACGGGUGAGUAACGCGUAAUCAACCUGCCCUUCAGGGGGGGACAACAGUAGGAAACGACUGCUAAUACCACAUACGAUCUAAUCUCGGCAUCGGUGGUAGAUGAACGGUGGCCUCUACAUGUAUGCUAUCACUGAAGGAGGGGAGUGCGUCUGAUGAGGACGGAGGAGGGGUAACGGAGCACGAAGGCGAGGAUGAGUAGUCGGUCGGAGAGGACGGACAGCCACAUUGGGACGGAGACACGGCCCAGACGGCUACGGGAAGCAGCAGUGGGGAAUCUGCCGGAAGGGACGAAAGUCUGACGGAGCAACGCGGAGGGAGUGAGGACGGACGUCGGGUUGGAAAGCUCGGUUAAUCGGGACGAAAGGCCUUCUUGCGAACAGGUAGAAGGAUUGACGGUACCGGAAAAGAAAGCAACGGCUAACUACGUG
rnacentral:rRNA from 1 species